GUCAAAUAAUAAUAAUCAUAGUAGUUGUCGAGGGUGCAACAAGUCAGCAACACAAGAGUAAGUGUCAGUUGGCUUUUUCAUAGCCGAUCUUUGAGAGUAUCUCUACCGCUCCUGCUGUCUCUAGAGAGUUGAAAACAGCAGGUCUGGGACAGGUAGCACGUCCGGUGAACAGGUUAGGGUUCCAUAGCCGCAGGCAGAACAGUUGAAACUGGAGCAGCAGCACGGCCAGGUGGACUGGGGACAGCAAGGAGUCAUCAUGCCAGGUAGUCCUGAGGCAUGGUCCUAGGGCUCAGGUCCUCCAAGAGAGAGAGAAAGAGAGAAUUAGAGAGAGCAUAUUUAAAUUCACACAGGACACCGGAUAAGACAAGAGAAAUACUCCAGAUGUGACAGACUGACCCUAGCCCCCCGACACAUAAACUACUGCAGCAUAAAUACUGGAGGCUGAGACAGGAGGGGUCGGGAGACACUGUGGCCCCAUUGUAAACAUUUCUAAGAACAUAAUUCCACUUUGACAUUAUUAUUUAAUUCAAAAAAAAGAAAUGUAACCUUUAUUUAACUAGGAAUGUCAGUUAAGAAAAAUGUAUUAUUUACAAUGACGGCCAAACCCAGACAACGCAGGGCCAAUUGUGUGCCACCCUCUGGGACUCCCAAUCAUGGCCGGUUGUGAUACAGCCUGGAUUUGAACCAGGGUGUCUGUAGUGACGCCACUAGCACUGAGAUGCAGUGCCUUAGACCGCUGCGCUACUCGGGAGACAUUAUGGGUUAUUGUGUGUAGAUCAGGUGACACAAAAUGUACAUUUAAUCCAUUUUAAUUCAGGGUUGUCCUCUGUCAUAAGGGACCAACUGGUAGAACGACCUACUUCUCUUCCCCUUUUGUGUUUCUUUUGGAUUGUCUUUGCUAUAUGAGAAGAUGGCUACGGGCUGUUGGUGGGAGAUGGUUGGGAGGCUUGACCAAAUCUGUACAUUCAAUUGUAUUUCUCUUUUGUGAUUUAUCAUGGACUGGAGGUACUUGUAUGACAUUGUGUGGUGUUGACUGCGCUUGUUAUACCUGUUUUGUUUGUUGAUUUUUAAUCUCAAAACAAUACAUUAGUCCAUCAGUACUGAGAAAAUACAACUUCAUCAGUGUGCUGAAAGGGUACAGUUGCAAGUUGACUAGCCUGCUCCUCUUUUUAUAUAUUUUUUUAUUUAACCGUUAUUUAACUAAGCAAGUCAGCUGGCGUCAAUACCCUCCUCACACAUUUGUCAUGUUCUAUGAUCCUCUAAAGCCUAAUUUCCAUUGGCACUUUGAAGUCAACCCAGGUUGGGCUGGCCUUAGUGGGCAAGCUCGAAUUGGGUUUCUACUUUCUAACAUUAUCUAGCUAGCUAAAUGGUUAGUGUCGUUGCUAGCGUAACAAGUUAUCUAGCUAGCUUAAUUCCUACCUUGCUUGCCCUUGCAUUGGAUAUUAGCUGUAAAAGUAAAGAGAUUCGCACACUCUAUAUAUAUAUAUAAAUAAACUCCCAGUAAUUUAUUGGGUAAAUCACCAACUUCUUGGCAUCGCUGUGCCUUCUUCAGGGUAAUGUCAUGAAUACUUGAACCAGGUUAUGUAGACAAUUAGUGCAACCAAUGACAAUAGUGAGGGGUGUGUCAUAAUUAAAGUUAAUUAGAAUGAAUUGAGUGAAACUGUUAAACAAUAGUUUAUAGCAUAUUGAAUAUAUUAUGCUAUUGUUAUCAUAUGGAAACAUAAAUAUUGUACAUAAUAUUAGCAUCAACAUACAUUAUUGUUUAAUUCAAUUUAACAUAUAUAUGUAAUUGUUACCUAUUUCAUUACAUUGUUUUGUUCCAUGUAAUCUUUUGGUUCAACCAUAAUGCAUAAUAAGCCUCAUCAACAGGGGGGAACAUAUUGGGUGUAUCCAUUUAUUAUUUAUGUUCAUAAAAUGACCAGUACGAAAAGAAAAAAAAAGGAAAAAAAAUGUAUGAAAUGUAUUCACUACUGUAAGUUGCUCUGGAUAUGAGAAAAAAAAAGAAAAAAAAAGAGAGAAUUGUUCAUAAGAAGGGCCUGAGGUCAAAGUCAAUAUUCAGACCACUAGGGGUCAAUGUUUUUAGAUAUGAUAUCCAGUAAGCCUCCCUUUGUAGUAGUAGGAUCUCGGUGUUAACUCCUCUCCUUGGUAGAGCAACAUGCUCAAUGCCUGUGUAUUUGAGAGAAGAGAUGGGAUGGUCAGCUUCAACAAAGUGAGCUGCUACUGGAUAGUCAAUGUUCUUACACCUGAUUGAGCUGCUGUGUUCAGCUAUGCGUUGUUUUAAUUGUCUUUUUGUUUGUCCUACAUAGGCUUUCCCACAUGAACAGGUGAUGGAAUAGAUUACUCCCUUGGUCUUGCAUGAGAUGAUACCCCUAACAGGGAUUUUCGACUGGCUAUUAGCUAGCCAUCUAACCAAGCAUACCAGACGACAGGUUUGAUAUGAUGUAGCUAGCUAGCGAGCUAGCUUUCAAUAAGACCUGGCCAGCUAAAAUUCCUGCUAGCUAACAUUAGCUAGCCAGCUUUUUUCAACUCUGAUUUGCUAGCUAACGUUAGGUAGCUAGCAUUCUACGACUGACUGUUCUCAUAAAAGUUUAUUUAGUGCAAAAAUGAAUGAAGGAUCCAGCUAUGGUGGUAAUUGGUAUCAUGUCUGACUACUGCAGUACUGCUUGUCCAUGUACUAGCUAACAGCAACAGGCCCAGACGAGCUAGCUAAACAUGGUGUCAGCAUCCAGCAGUGAACAGCUGGUGGUUGCAUUCUAAUCAAGCUAGCACAAGUUUUGAAAAUGGGCUGCGCUGGCCUGUGUUUACCCCUGACUGAGCUCGAUUUUGAGAAUUCCAUUCCAGUCAGCUCGAAUUUGGCCCUAAUUUUAAGUGCUAGUGGAAACGGGGCUUUAUUCAGCUCAACUAAGGCCUUCUGCUGCUAUAUAAACACACACAGAGAAAAUGUUUCCUGUUAAUCUUUGAGCUAUUGAUUCCAGAUGUGUCUUACCUCUCACUGGCAUCGCUCAUGCCCUUUCUGGAGCUGCUCUACCUCCACAUUCAGGCUGAGGGAAAACCAGGGGCGCAACUUUGGUUUUAGAAGUGGGGGGGGGGCAAUUCAUUUAAAAAAAGUGUCCAGUUGGAUAAACACUCCAAACAGCCUACCCGACCGCUCGGAGGCAUCUGCAUGGUCCUAAAGCACACCGUUGUGUUGUUUUGUAUCACAUUCCAAUGAUAAAACUGGGGGAGACAAAAAUGUAAUUUCAGAAUGUGGGGGUGACAUGUCUCCCCCCCCCCCGCCAUCCCCAGUGAAAGUUGCGUAAUGUUAUGUUUGCACUGUUUCCCCACUAUCAGUGAACAAUGUGUGGGGAAAUCAUGGAUAUGUGACUUAACAGGAUCAACAAGCUGCUUUGUGAGCUCGAGAGUUUGGUUAAGGGGGAGGGGAAGUAGAUAUUACAAAUAGUUAACACAUUGCAUCAUACUGGGUGCAUACGACAUCUGAUUUCUGGAUAAGCUAUUCAGUUUCUCUUAGUGUUCUGGAUAGAUUUUGUAUCCUACUCUGUUCUUUAUGCUGUACACAUGAAACAUGACCUAAUUAGAAUGUUUGGGAGCAUGUACAGUGGCUUCGGAAAGUAUUCAGACCACUUGACUUUUUCCACAUUUUGUUACGUUACAGCCUAAUUUGGAAAUUGAUUCAAUUGUUUUUCCCCCUCAACAAUCUACACACAAUACCCCAUAAUGACAAAGCAAAAACAUUUUUGCAAAUUUAUUACAAAUAAAAAAAAUAGGGAUGGUGCAAGGAUUUUUGAAAUUUAAUCAACUUUAGAAUAAGGCUGUAAUGUACAAAAUGUGGAAAAAGUGAACGGGUUGGAAUACUUUCUGAAUGCACUGUAUGUUUUGAGUGUCUAACUCUAUGAAAUGUCUCUUGAGUGGGUGGGGCUGAACAGUUUGGCGUUACCGGUCAGUUUCAGCCUCUUUCUGCUUUAGCUCCUCCUCUGUCCUACUCUGUUGCUCCGCCUUCAUCUUCCUCAGCAUGGAUUCAAUGGCACUCAGAUCCCAGUUCCGUAAAGUGGCAAUCACAGCCAUCCCAAGAAGCCGCCUGGAACAUGCCAACAAACACAUAAGCCCAAACAAGGCUUGUAAAACACAAAUACACAGACACCCUCUGUCUCUCUCUCUUUCUCAAACACACACACACACACACACACACACACACACACACACACACACACACACACACACACACACACACAUAUAUAUAUAUAACCCUGAUUAUUGCAUGCUUGCUCUGGAGUGCUGCCAUCAUCCGCGUGGGUCCUCGGGUCUGCCCCCAGCUGAACUGCUCCAAGAUGGCCCCCAAAAAGGAGCUCUGUAGAUUGGCGGCCAUCCAAACACACCCUAAUAAAAAAACACACUACCUGACAUACUUAUGCAAUUGCUAAGGCCUUAGGCAUGGACACCUAACUCCAAUACUCAGAAGUUGUUUCCCUGCUGGAGGAAGUUUGUGUAUGACCUAAGCUCCCCAAAGAAAGGGAUUAAGUCAAGUCAUGCUUGUUUGCCUAUCAAUAGUUUGUAUAUGUCAAUGGGAAUUGGUGGGGGAACACUCAAUCUCACCUAACCAAGAGCUAAUAUUUCUGUUAGUGCUGUAUUAUCUCACCAGUGUGUUCUCUCCACCAAUAGGGUGGUAACCUCCAGCUGACCCCACCUUCUGCUUCUGACACCGAUGUGUUGCUGAUGGCAUCUGUGAUGUUGAUCAUGCGAAGUUGGUUUAGCAGCCACUGGCGUGUUUUGUGUCUCUGUCAUAGACCUAGAUAAGUACCAAAGCACAAUUAUGUUAGAAAUGUCCUGUAAAUGUACAUAACAUUAAGAACACUUGCUCUUUCCAUGAAAGAUGAAAGAUAUGAUCCCUUAUUGAUGUCACCUGUUAAAUCCACUUCAAUCAGUGUAGAUGAAGGGGAGGAGACAGGUUAAAGAAGGAUGUUUAAGCCUUCAGAAAAUUGAGACAUUGAAUGGCACACUUACACAAGAGGGUGAAUGGGCACGAACAGGGUCAUCAGGCUGCUAAUUAUCCCGCACACCUGUCGCCAUCGUCAAGCGCACCUGCGCCUUAUGACACUCACCUGGACUCCAUCACCUCCUUGAAUAUCUUCCCUGUAUCUGUCACUCCUCCUGGUUCCUUCCUCAGGCGUUAUUGAUUCUGUUUUCAUGUCAGUACGUUGUUUGUGUUCAUUGUUUCUUUUAUUUAUUAAAACACUCACUCCCUGAACAUGCUUCCAGACUCUCAGCGCUCUCCGAGUGCACCGGUUUGAGUGUAUCAAGAACUACAACGCUACUGGGUUUUUCAUGCUCAACAGUUUCCCGUAUUUAUCAAGAAUGGUCCACCACCCAAACAACAUCCAGCCAACUUGACACAACUGGGAGAAGCAUUGGAGUCAACAUGGGCCAGCGUCCCUAUGGAAUGCUUUCAACACCUUGUUGAGUCCAUGCCUCAAAGAAUUUAGGCUGUUCUGAGGGCAAAAGGGGGUGCAACAUUAUAUUUGGAAGGUGUUCCUAAUGGUUUGUACAUUCUGUGUAUACUAUUGUGGAUUAUAUUGAUGCCACAAUAAUAAAGACAAAGAAAAACAUUUUUCCAAGUUAUGGAUAAGUAAGUCAUUGUCACUUGCCACAUAAACAUUUUUCACAACAGCUUUUUCACUUUAGUAUGUGGCCCAUGUGCAUCUAUACAUUUUUUUGU
rnacentral:lncRNA from 1 species